rnacentral:rRNA from 1 species
AUGCGAUACUUGGUGUGAAUUGCAGAAUUCAGUGAAUCAUCGAAUCUUUGAACGCACCUUGCGCUCCUUGGUAUUCCGAGGAGCAUGCCUGUUUGAGUGUCAUGGUAUUCUCAACCCACACAUCCUUGUGAUGUUCGUAGGGCUUGGACUUGGAGGCUUGCUGGCCGUCGCGGUCGGCUCCUCUUGAAUGCAUUAGCUUGGUUCCUUGCGGAUCGGCUCUCAGUGUGAUAAUUGUCUACGCUGUGACCGUGAAGCGUUUGGCGAGCUUCUAACCGUCCUGCUAGGGACGAAACUUACUUGACAUCUGACCUCAAAUCAGGUAGGACUACCCGCUGAACUUAAGCAUAUCAAUAAGCGGAGGAA